rnacentral:rRNA from 1 species
GGAGGCAGCAGUGAGGAAUUUUGCGCAAUGGGGGAAACCCUGACGCAGCAACGCCGCGUGAGUGAUGAAGGAUUUCGGUUCGUAAAGCUCUGUCGAGUGGGAAGAAACUGUUUGCGGUCAACAGCCGCAGACACUGACGGUACCACCAAAGGAAGCACCGGCUAACUCCGUGCCAGCAGCCGCGGUAAUACGGAGGGUGCAAGCGUUAUUCGGAUUUACUGGGCGUAAAGGGCGCGUAGGCGGCUCGUUAAGUCAGUUGUGAAAGCCCGGGGCUUAACCCCGGAAGUGCGACUGAAACUAGCGGGCUUGAGUAUGGUAGAGGGAAGUGGAAUUCCUGGUGUAGCGGUGAAAUGCGUAGAUAUCAGGAGGAACACCGGUGGCGAAGGCGGCUUCCUGGACCAAUACUGACGCUGAGGCGCGAAGGUGUGGGGAGCAAACAGGAUUAGAUACCCUGGUAGUCCACACAGUAA